UGGGAAGUAUUGGGCAAUGGGCGAAAGCCUGACCCAGCAACGCCGCGUGAAGGAAGAAGGUCUUCGGAUUGUAAACUUCUUUUAUGAGGGACGAAGGACGUGACGGUACCUCAUGAAUAAGCCACGGCUAACUACGUGCCAGCAGCCGCGGUAAUACGUAGGUGGCAAGCGUUAUCCGGAUUUACUGGGUGUAAAGGGCGCGUAGGCGGGGAUGCAAGUCAGAUGUGCAAUCUAUGGGCUCAACCCAUAAACUGCAUUUGAAACUGUAUCUCUUGAGUGCUGGAGAGGUAGAUGGAAUUCCUUGUGUAGCGGUGAAAUGCGUAGAUAUAAGGAAGAACACCAGUGGCGAAGGCGAUCUACUGGACAGUAACUGACGCUGAGGCGCGAGAGCGUGGGGAGCAAACAGGAUUAGAUACCC
rnacentral:rRNA from 1 species